GGGUGAGUAACACGUGGAUAACCUACCUAUAAGACUGGGAUAACUUCGGGAAACCGGAGCUAAUACCGGAUAAUAUAUUGAACCGCAUGGUUCAAUAGUGAAAGACGGUUUUGCUGUCACUUAUAGAUGGAUCCGCGCCGCAUUAGCUAGUGGUAAGGUAACGGCUUACCAAGGCAACGAUGCGUAGCCGACCUGAGAGGGUGAUCGGCCACACUGGAACUGAGACACGGUCCAG
rnacentral:rRNA from 1 species